UUGUUGCCCAGUUGGGUUUGUUUUCUAAGAGUUUGGUUUUGGCUCGCAUUCUUUGGCUUACACUAUAGUAAAUACAUGGGACUGGAAGGUGGCUAGUGAGGAAGGCUUGGCAGGGUGGGAGCAUUAAAUAUGUCUUGUGUCUGUUGGGCUUGGGUAUUAUCAGUGGGAGAUGAUGCCUGAUAUUAUGUUUUACUAGACUGUGGUUCACCAGUAUUGAAGAUUAAACAAUGAACGUGGGUUUGAUUUAGUAAGUGGUGUGGGUUUUAGGUCCAGCUAAUUCUUGUGCCAGCAGCUGCGGUUAAACAAGGGGGCCAAGUUAAGGUCUGAGCAGUAUAAAAUAGGGUUAAUGGAGUGAUCGUUCGGGUUAGGGCGAGUAGGAUUAGGGACAAAAUGCUAUAAUUCAUAGGGGUUAAAUCCGAAGGCUGGCUAGGGUUUCAAUGUUCCUUUAGUUCUGUGAUGCCUUGAGACUUAUUUGAUAGACCAGGAUUAGAUACCCUGUUAUUUUUAGUGUAAAUGUUGGUUUACUGUCUACUGGAGUACUACGGACAAAUCAACCACUGGGUUGGUGGAGUUUAAAACUCAAAAAACUUGGCGGUGCUUUAGGUCUUUCUAGGGGAGUCUGUUUCUUUAACCGAUACUCCACGUUGUAUCUGACUUUGCUUUGAGUUCUCUGGUUUGUGGACUGGAGAGCGUCAGCCUGUAUACCGUCGAUUGUAGGCUACGCUCAGAGGGGGCAGGAGUUGCCGGAAUGAAAUGUUGGGGUGGCCAGGUUUAAUUGGGUUUUAUCAGGUUGCUUUAUAUUUUCAGGAAAUCAGAUCGAGGUGCAGUUAAUGGUGAAGGGGGGAUGGGCUACAAUAAUGGAUUUAUUUCGGAUUCUUUUUUGAAAAAAAUUGAUGAAGUUGGACUUAGUAGUAAUUAUUGGAUUAGAAGGUUAAGGUGAAUUGAAGCUAGUGAAGUGUGCACAAAUCGCCCGUCGCUCUCGCUGUAAAGUGAGAUAAGUCGUAACAUAGUAGGGGUACCGGAAGGUGUUCCUAGGAGAAUUAUGUUGU
rnacentral:rRNA from 1 species